rnacentral:rRNA from 1 species
CCUACGGGAGACAGCAGUGAGGAAUAUUGGUCAAUGGCCGCAGGGCUGAACCAGCCAAGUCGCGUGAGGGAUGACGGUCCUAUGGAUUGUAAACCUCUUUUGUCAGGGAGCAAAGGGCGCCACGUGUGGCGCUUUGCGAGUACCUGAAGAAAAAGCAUCGGCUAACUCCGUGCCAGCAGCCGCGGUAAUCCGGAGGAUGCGAGCGUUAUCCGGAUUUAUUGGGUGUAAGGGGUGCGCAGGCGGAAUGUCAAGUCAGCGGUAAAAUUUCGGGGCUCAACCCCGUCGUGCCGUUGAAACUGGCGUUCUUGAGUGAGCGAGAAGUAGGCGGAAUGCGUGGUGUAGCGGUGAAAUGCAUAGAUAUCACGCAGAACUCCGAUUGCGAAGGCAGCAUACCGGCGCUCAACUGACGCUCAUGCACGAAAGCGUGGGUAUCGAACAGGAUUAGAUACCCCAGUAGUC